rnacentral:rRNA from 1 species
AAUUUAUGGUCCUGUGAACCCUUCCUAUUCCCUUGUGGAAUGUGCGUAGGUGUGCACGGAUCAUCGUUCUGAAGCGCAAUUCCGCCCUUGAUUGGGUGUGUUUUGUAAUUCAGAUCUAUUACUGUGAGAAAAUCAGAGUGUUCAAAGCAGGCAGCAAUGCUUGUAUGGUUCAGCAUGGAAUAAUAAGAUAAGACUUCGGUUUUGUUUUGUUGGCUAUGAAACCAAAGUAAUGAUUGAAAGGGAUAGUUGGGGGUGCUAGUAUUCAGUGGUCAGCGGUGAAAUGCGAGGACCCAUUGAAGACUAACUUAUGCGAAAGCAUU